AGAAUAUAAGAACCCGUCUCUUAACUUUUAACUAAAAAAGUUAAGAACCGGCUCUUAAAACUCUUAUUUAAGAGCCGGUUCUUAGUUUUUUUAGUUAAAAGUUAAGAGACGAGUUCUUAUAUUCC
rnacentral:pre_miRNA from 1 species